ensembl:lncRNA
AGAGAAACAUUAUCCCUAAAACUAUCCAAGUAACGUUACAUGUCAAACAAUUUUCUUCUUUAAACUUCAACAACUUUUAGCUCUAUGGAGCUCACAAAUACUGCUUUAUCAGGCAUUAACUGUUAUAUGUAAGAUGAAAUGAAAAUGACAUCGAAAAUUUUCUGAAGACAGUCAUGUUCGUGUGAUUUUUGUUCAACUUUUAAUAAAUUGACGUGAAAUUGUAUGUUUAAUGAUUUUAAUUAAUUAGUCAUGCCUUUUGAUUAAUACAAACUUGAUAAUCACACAAUAUUACUGAUCUAAAUUACUUUCUUCCUACAACUGACUAUUAAAUUUGUGAAUUUCAGUGAACACCAGAAAGAGCUCCAGAGGCAGGGGCUUACCCCUCUUCAGGAUGCUGAAAGACACAUUCAUCUAGGACGAGAUAAACACAGUUUUUUCAAAAUAUAUUGAUGGAAUUAAAGGACAUGGUGUUUUUGCAGAAGAUUUCAUUGGGAAGGGAUCCUUCAUUAUCGAGUACCACGGAGCUCUGUGUGAAGAAAACAAGUUUAAUAAAAUCUCAAAUCCAUACAUAUAUUAUUUUAAAGAUAAUGGAAAAGAUUAUUGGUAAGUACAAUAUACCUGAUGUGCAUGUAGAUAUGACAGCCAAAAUCAAAUUUCAUUAAUUUAAUUAAUGAACUAUGUGGGUUAUUGUUGUCAAUAGUACUGCUACUUUGGUACAUAUUCCAUGCUAAGAGCUCUCAAAUGGUCCCAUGUGUAUUUGUUUGCAGUCUGUCAAGACUGUCAAAGGUUUCUAUUUACAAAAUGUUUUUGCAGCGUUGAGCAUUGUAGCCAACCACAGACGUGUUUGCUGAUCACCUAAAUGCAAUGGCUAAUCAGAGGCAAAUUGCAAUUAAUUUUGUUCAAACCCGUUUAAUAAUCCAGCUUUGAUCAUAAAGGAAGUGCUUUUGGUCUGUUUCUAUUUGUAACUUUUUUCUGUUUUGGUAUUUAACCCAUUUAAACCCAUUCAAAAUCUGAUUUGUUAGAGUAGAUCUGUGCAUU